UUCAGUUUCCAAUAAUUUUUCUCGUUUUAACCAUUACCCAACAACACAUGACAUUUUAUUCUCUUUAUUAGUCUUGUAAUAUAAAUAGUCCUUGAGGGUUAGAAUACCAAAAUUUCUCUUAAUCACUCAAUCAAUUAGAUUAGGCCUCUCUCUUUUAUUUUCUGUUUCUGAUUAUGGAUUAGGAAUUAGUUUAUGGUUUUUAGAGAGAGAAAAUGAGGAAAAUCACAUCAAAGACUAAGCCAAGCUUGAACCGCGCGCGAUUGGAAAGAUUAGCCGCAAUCUGAGCAUGAAGUAUCACCCACCAAGAUUGGAGUUUUUGGAUGAUUGUUUGGUGACAAAAUGAAAUGACAAAAGAUUCAUCAGUGAGAAUUUCUCACCUUCUCUCCUCUAUAUUAUUGCUUAAUUUAUUGCUCUAUUUUACUUGUUUUUUCUUAGCUUAUACUAUAAUUUUGCUUGUUAAUUGUUUUGCUAAUUAGUUGUAAAUCCUGGUUUAAAUCUUGAUAGUUCGUUAAUCUUGCUUAGUUUUACUAUGUUUAUGAUUAUAAGUUUUUCUUUGAUUAUCAUGUUUAAUCUUCCAUUUUUAGGCUAGGUUGUAAAUAGGGGAGGAGGAGAAGAUUAUAGCAUAGUGAUGAUUUAUUUCAAAUGUUGAUGAUUGAUUUUUUUUAUUAUUUAUGCCAUGUGUUGUUGGGUAAUGGGUUUAAUUUCUUGAAUUUUUUCUAGCUAAUUAAACUUAAGUUGCGUAUUGCUUCUAAGCUAUGCUAGUUGUACGAGAGUGAACUAAUUUAGAGCGUAAUUUAGCCAACACCUAGCUCGAUUAAUUGCGCGGGAGUAAAAUAUUUGGGUUGAGAAUUUGCAUGUCUUUGUCUGCAGAAGUGACUUGGUUAUGCUAGUUUCCCUUGGUGUGCUCAUCAUGUAAGUCGUUGUAGUUUAAGUGAUUGAAUUGCAUGCUAUGCUUGGAUCUCUCAAUUCCCCUAGUGCUUUCAUUUCUUGUUUAUUCCUCUUUUCAAUUAGUUUAUUUGUGCAAUUUAAUUUUAUUAUUAUAUAUUUAAUCAAAAAAUACCAAAAAUAUCACCCUUAACUAGAUUGUAAUUGCGAAUUUAUUUGGAUUUCUUGCUCGCUUUUCUGUGGAAGAAUGACCUUACUUAUUGCCAUUAUGCUCGAUUUUUAGUAGGUAGGUUAUUUGAUAGGAAAAUUUAACUAACAACGUAUCUUACGUUUUAACACCAGAUCAGGUCACUAAUUGAAUAAUCGGGUAUGGGUCUGCUUUGCAAGGUUUAGUCUCCAUGAGCCAAGUUUGAUGUUAUCAUACAAAAAGGACAAUAACAAUCAAAGAAACAAUACAUAUCUAUAUUUUUUUUCUUUUGACAACAAAAUUAAAACUAAAAGAAGACAACUACAAAUUAGUAAGGCUAACUAACUUUGUUCGACAUUCAUUAGCCAAGACAUGAGCCUUACGAACUUGCUCCCUAGUGACUUUCCAAACUACACAUGUUGUAAAGGAAGACCCCGAUCUAAUAUCUUGAGCAAUCUGGUAAUAAAAUAUAAUCCUUUUGUCAUUGAAGCACAUUGACCACUCCAAUUGAGUUAGUAUAAAAUAUAAUCCUUUGAUACUCUUUCUACUUUGCCCACCUGAUACCUCUUAAACAAGCUAGAAGCUCUGCUUGGAGGGCUGAAGAAGCCUUAAAAAAUUCCCUACCCCCAUCCUCUUGAUCCGUGCCACUAAUCAUGAAAGCCCAUCCUAUUCCUGCGUUACCUAUUUGUUUGUGCCAAGAUCCAUCGCACAAAAUGAUCACUUCUGGUUGUCGCCCCAAAGGCCAAAUGGUAUCAAUUCUCUAAGCUCCCAAGGUGGCUCUAGCAAACCCCGGAGGGGAGUCAUUACUCACUUCCCUAAACUGAAAUGUGCCUAGGCUCUUUUCAUCUGGUUUCAAGAAAGUAUGUAAUUCCUUCGUACUAGUGUCCAAGUGUCUAAAAAAGUCAUCAACAUAGCUCGUGUUAGUUCUAAAGACCAUUUCAUUUCUUGUAAUCCACAACACACACAAAAAUGUGAAUUCUCUCACUUUGGAUACCAUCUGUUUAAGGGUAUUUUUACCCCCUUUUAUAGACAAAUGAGAGGCCGACAAGUGGCCCAAUUAUAAGCCGACAUGUGGCAUCCUGCUUAGUUAAUAAAGACCAAUAUGAGCAUGACAUGUGGCCUAAAGAGAGAUAUCAGAUAAUGAAGGGCUCAAAGCCUAUUAAAGGAUACAUGCCUAUCAUAAAGGAAACCCUAAUACACGUGUCAACCACGUAUAGGGUAGCCGAUCUUCCUAGAUUAUGAAACCCUAGGAGCAUGAUCUCCCACUUCCCUAUAAAUACCCCAUAAAUCCAUGAUGGGAAAAAAAAACACAAUUCCCAAAGGCACUCUGGCCAAAAAUAUGCUCUCAUUUCUCUUUACUUUCUCUCUUUAAAAUUCCGUUGCCGGUCACUAAUUAACUUGAUCGUCGGAGGCGGAUCUCCGGUAAUCGGAGAUUUGUUGUUUUGCAGGUGUCCAGGCCUUACGGGUGUUGCAUUUCGCAUCUGUCUCCCAAGGGAAUUUUAUACCCCCCUUUCAGGUUAUUCCAAAAAUCCUAGAAACAUUUGGCACCGUCUGUGGGGAGACACGUCUGGAAUGGCACUUAGCCAUAUCCAAACACCAAAUCAUGAAGUAGAGCUCUUUUUUACUUAUGAAACCCAAUGUGGGGGCAAAGUUGUAAUUAUCCCAGAUGGGGUACUUUUGAGCAAUUUCCCUAAAAAACUGCAUCUUAUGGACCCUCAGUCGGUCUUAUAACGUCUGGGGUAUCUUUGAGCAGUUUUCAAAACGGCACUCUAUAGAUACCGUCUGGGGUAUCUUUGAGCCAUCUUCAUAAACUGCUUUCUAUAGAUAUCUCCUGAGGUAUCUUUCAGCAAUUUUCUUUCAAAAUGCAUUACCGUCUGUUUUCUCUAUAACUUUCUAAACAACCACAGCCGGACCCUUCCGUCUGUGGUAUCUUUGAGUGAUUUUCUUUGCAAACGUCUGACUGUUUUGUUUUGUAUUUCAGCUUUCAAAACAUACACAACUGGACUCUUCCGCUUGUGGCAUCUGCAAGCCACAUUUUGAGAUAACGGUCAAGUCUUCUACAAACUUCUUCACAACUUCAAGAUAUUGCUUUUCGUUGGCCGGAUAUGCAAAGCUAUGCCAAGAGAAUGCGAAGGACCCUCACCCGGUCUGAGAAAGAGGCGGUACCGGGUAUCAACCAGGUCAACAUUGACCGCAUAACCUCACUGCUGGCUGAGGUAAUAUACCGGUUGGGGUACUUUUGGGUAAUUUUGCAGAUAUACCGGAUGAGGUACUUUUGGGCAAUUUUGCUAAUUACCGGUUGUGAUAUAACUGAACUAAUUUCUUUUCCGAUUGACUUUGCAGGUAAUGUUGAGGGUAGAUGGGUUGAAAGCCCCCUUGUGGAAGAGGCAAGAGGAGGUAAGGGAUGCCCAAAGACGGGCAGCCGAAUUAAUUGAUGUCUGUCAAUAUAACUCCCUUAUGCUUGAAGCAGCAUGUUUGAGCCAAAGCAGCUACUUGGCCACGACAACAAAGCAACUUGUUUGAGUAAAAUCGCAAAGAAUGCUUCUGAAAGUAUAGCUGGUCGGAUCUUUCUCUACAUGGCAUGCUUGGUUGAGCAACCAAGCAAUCUGGCCGAGCUGGGUGUAUGUUGACCGAGUAGCCCCUGGCCUGGCCGAGCAGCAUUUCCGCACAAGCAUAAGAACUCCACCAAGGUAACCAAACUAUUGUCCGAGCAAAGCUGUUCGAGUUGCCAUCAUGCAAAGCUUCAUGUUUUGAAUUUGGUACGGCCAAGGCAGGCUGGCCGAGUGAAAAUGCAAAUAUGCCCCUUCUAGCAUAGCUGGUCGGCAGCCAACAUGGCCGAGCAUCAAACUGACUGGACGAGUUACCCUUCAAAGAUGCACCAGGUUCUUACUUUUAGGUGUCCAACAACCUGUCCAAGGGAAAUAGAAAGCUCGCCCUCGCAAACAUACUUGGUCGGCCAUGGAUGGGUGUCCGACCUGUCUUCGAGCAAAGAGCCACCGAAUGACUUUUAGGCGGACACAAGCCUGGUCGAGCUAUCCAUAAGGCUGAGUAACAUGAGGCCGAGUAAAAUAGGGGAACAUCGCCUGGUGGAAGAAUUGAAUAUUACAAAAAAAAUAUUUUCGGAUAGGGAAAUGAGCUAACGAGUCCAACUCUCUACUAUGCAAUGAACAAUAAUCUUUUUUAGCCAUCUGAGUUCGUUUAAGGCUCGCAAAAGGCACUUAAACGUUUUUUGAGUCAAAUAAAAUGACAAAAAUCAUGAGCGAUAAGGCCGAAUGGUGGUGAUACUGUGAGACGACAUCAUUAUUAUAAUUCUGAAUAUUGAUUAAAAAAAAAA